rnacentral:tRNA from 2 species
UCCUGGUUAGCUCAGUUGGUAGAGCGCUCCACUGGAAAUGGGGAGGUCCCUGGUUCGAUACCAGGACCAGGCG